rnacentral:rRNA from 1 species
UUAGUGGCGAACGGGUGAGUAACACGUGAGUAACCUGCCCUUGACUCUGGGAUAAGCCUGGGAAACUGGGUCUAAUACCGGAUAUGACCUUCCAUCGCAUGGUGGUUGGUGGAAAGCUUUUGUGGUUUUGGAUGGACUCGCGGCCUAUCAGCUUGUUGGUGGGGUAAUGGCCUACCAAGGCGACGACGGGUAGCCGGCCUGAGAGGGUGACCGGCCACACUGGGACUGAGACACGGCCCAGACUCC